UCACCUCCUGCAUUUUCUGCCCGCCCUGNNNNNNNNNNNNNNNNNNNNNNNNNGACAGAUCGAGACUCCACCUCAAAAAAGAAAAAAGAAAAAGAAUUCAAAUCUGAUUUUCUUGCCAGCCAUGCUUUCACCAUGAUGGAGAAACCUCGUCCUAAUGAGAUUGACUUACUGUCUCCAUCGUGAUAGAAAUAAUUCAUUACAAUUACUCCUCCUAUCAGCAGUGGCAGCAGCCAGGUCAGCCUUGCGAGAAGCCGAGGAUAAGCCCAUCAUUACCUCUGUCCCAGCUCUGUGGCCAUUUUGUUCAUUGCCUCCAUAGGCAGGUGCUGACUUGAUGGGAAGGAGCUUGAGCUACAUCCACAGGAGGCUCUUCUUAUCCACUUACUUACUAAAGCCUUAGCAGUGAGGACAUUUUUAUAGGUAUUUAUAUGACACAUAAAUACCCUCACUUUCUAGAUCUCUUCUGAGAGGUUCAUCUACAUCCUCUCUCCCAAACCUUGUCACCAAUCUAAGUCCAUGACCACCUGACCCAGACAUUGGUAAAGAGUCCUCAUGGCAAAGAGAACCACAGGAGUGCUACUUCUGUCUGCAGAGAGGAUUUCUUCUUGCUGCUGUCCUCGAAGACCACUUUGAAGUGCAUCUGUAACACUUUAGCAAUCCACUUCCAGCUGAUCCUACCUGUAAACUGAGCUCAAAUGUUGCACUCCGUAGUCACCUGCUUCAUGCCGCAGAAGACUAGAGUGAGAGUCACAGGCCACUCCCAUCCCAUUUCCCUGAGCGCCUACAGCCUACCACUAUUCUGGUACCAACUUCUUUAUCGGUUGAGUUCUGGAUGGCAAGCAACAGAACCACUGCCUACUUCAAGCUCACAGAAUCUCCAACAGUGCCCA
rnacentral:lncRNA from 1 species